rnacentral:lncRNA from 1 species
UAACUAACAAAGGAUUCAGGUAAACCUCUGGGCUCAUGCACUAAUAGCAAAUAGCAUGGUAGCAAAAUUUUACAAAAGAAAAAUAUCGAACAUGAAAAUGUCGCAAAGUGACAGUUAGAUAGUGCAGUAACUAACAAAGGAUUCAGGUAAACCUCCGGGCUCAUGCACUAAUAGCAUAUUUCAGCAUCCACGAAAGAAUCACAAUAUCUUUCUGUUUUGCAACUAACUUGGAAUAUAUCCAUUAAUUGGGAAUACAUAUGCAUACAAUGAAUACUAAUAGACUCCAAACAGAUCAAACUAUGCAUGAGUGCAAACAGAGAAUCAACAAGGUAAAAUAAGUGAACCAUGGUGAUUAUUUCUUGCACGGAGGCUGGACACCAGCA